rnacentral:rRNA from 1 species
ACGGCCAUACCUAGGCGAAAACACCAGUUCCCGUCUGAUCACUGCAGUUAAGCGUCUGAGGGCCUCGUUAGUACUAUGGUUGGAGACAACAUGGGAAUCCGGGGUGCUGUAGGCU